rnacentral:rRNA from 1 species
AGAAUCAACGCUGGCGGCGUGCCUAACACAUGCAAGUCGAACGAGAACGGGUAGCAAUACCUUAGUAAAGUGGCGCACGGGUGAGUAACACGUGACUAACCUACCCUGGAGUGGGGGAUAACCGAGAGAAAUCUUAGCUAAUACCGCAUAACACCUACGGGUCAAAGGAGCAAUUCGCUUCAGGAGGGGUCGCGGCAGAUUAGAUAGUUGGCGGGGUAAUGGCCCACCAAGUCAGUGAUCUGUA